AGCGAACGCUGGCGGCAGGCCUAACACAUGCAAGUCGAACGAACUCUUCGGAGUUAGUGGCGGACGGGUGAGUAACACGUGGGAACGUGCCUUUUGGUUCGGAAUAACUCAGGGAAACUUGUGCUAAUACCGAAUGUGCCCUUCGGGGGAAAGAUUUAUCGCCAUAGAGCGGCCCGCGUCUGAUUAGCUAGUUGGUGAGGUAACGGCUCACCAAGGCGACGAUCAGUAGCUGGUCUGAGAGGAUGACCAGCCACACUGGGACUGAGACACGGCCCAGACUCCUACGGGAGGCAGCAGUGGGGAAUCUUGCGCAAUGGGCGAAAGCCUGACGCAGCCAUGCCGCGUGAAUGAUGAAGGUCUUAGAAUUGUAAAAUUCUUUCACCGGGGACGAUAAUGACGGUACCCGGAGAAGAAGCCCCGGCUAACUUCGUG
rnacentral:rRNA from 1 species